AUUGAACGCUGGCGGCAGGCCUAACACAUGCAAGUCGAGCGAGUGGCGGACGGGUGAGUAAUGUGUGGGGAACUGCCUGAUUGAGGGGGAUAACUACUGGAAACGGUAGCUAAUACCGCAUACCAUCGGAUGUGCCCACAUGGGAUUAGCUAGUAGGUAGGGUAACGGCUUACCUAGGCGACGAUCCCUAGCUGGUCUGAGAGGAUGACCAGCCACACUGGGACUGAGACACGGCCCAGACUCCUACGGGAGGCAGCAGUGGGGAAUAUUGCACAAUGGGCGAAAGCCUGAUGCAGCCAUGCCGCGUGUAUGAAGAAGGCCUUCGGGUUGUAAAGUACUGUCAGUGGGGAGGCGUUACUCACAGAAGAAGCACCGGCUAACUCCGUGCCAGCAGCCGCGGUAAUAC
rnacentral:rRNA from 1 species